rnacentral:rRNA from 1 species
UACGGAGGGUGCAAGCGUUGUCCGGAUUUAUUGGGUUUAAAGGGUGCGUAGGCGGCUCUUUAAGUCAGCGGUGAAAGUCCAGAGCUCAACUCUGGGAUUGCCAUUGAUACUGAAGAGCUUGAGUAUAGUUGAGGUAGGCGGAAUUGACAGUGUAGCGGUGAAAUGCAUAGAUAUUGUCAAGAACACCGAUUGCGUAGGCAGCUUACUAGCUAUAACUGACGCUGAGGCACGAAAGUGUGGGGAUCAAACAGG